rnacentral:rRNA from 1 species
UACGAAGGGGGCUAGCGUUGCUCGGAAUUACUGGGCGUAAAGCGCACGUAGGCGGCUCUUUAAGUCGGGGGUGAAAUCCUGGAGCUCAACUCCAGAACUGCCUUCGAUACUGAAGAGCUUGAGUCCGGGAGAGGUGAGUGGAACUGCGAGUGUAGAGGUGAAAUUCGUAGAUAUUCGCAAGAACACCAAUUGCGAAGGCAGGUUACUGAGCCAUUACUGACGCUGAGGCACGAAAGCGUGGGGAUCAAACAGG